CCUUACCUACCCUUGACAUGUCUGGAAGGCCGAAGAGAUUUGGCUGUGCUCGCAAGAGAACCGGAACACAGGUGCUGCAUGGCUGUCGUCAGCUCGUGUCGUGAGAUGUUGGGUUAAGUCCCGCAACGAGCGCAACCCUUGUCAUUAGUUGCUACGAAAGGGCACUCUAAUGAGACUGCCGGUGACAAACCGGAGGAAGGUGGGGAUGACGUCAAGUCCUCAUGGCCCUUAUGGGUAGGGCUUCACACGUCAUACAAUGGUCGGGACAGAGGGUCGCCAACCCGCGAGGGGGGAGCCAAUCCCAGAAACCCGAUCGUAGUCCGGAUCGCAGUCUGCAACUCGACUGCGUGAAGUCGGAAUCGCUAGUAAUCGCGGAUCAGCAUGUCGCGGUGAAUACGUUCCCGGGUCUUGUACACACCGCCCGUCACACCAUGGGAGUGGGUUUUACCAGAAGUAGUUAGCCUAACCGCAAGGAGGGCGAUUACCACGGUAGGAUUCAUGACUGGGGUGAAGUCGUAACAAGGUAAGCGUAGUGCU
rnacentral:rRNA from 1 species